rnacentral:rRNA from 1 species
AACGAACGCUGGCGGCAGGCUUAACACAUGCAAGUCGAGCGCCCCGCAAGGGGAGCGGCAGACGGGUGAGUAACGCGUGGGAAUCUACCGUGCCCUACGGAAUAGCUCCGGGAAACUUGAAUUAAUACCGUAUACGCCCUACGGGGGAAAGAUUUAUCGGGGUAUGAUUAGCCCGCGUUGGAUUAGCUAGUUGGUAGGGUAAAGGCCUAACAAGGCGAAGAUCCAUAGCUGGUCUGGGAGGAUGAUCAGCCACAUUGGGACUGAGACACGGCCCAAACUCCUACGGAAGGCAGCAGUGGGGAAUAUUGGAUAAUGGGCGCAAGCCUGACCCUGCCAUGCCGCGUGAGUGAUGAAGGUCUUAGAAUUGUAAAGCUCUUUCACCGGUGAAGAUAAUGACGGUAACCGGAGAAGAAGCCCCGGCUAACUUCGUGCCAGCAGCCGCAGUAAGAC